CUUCAGCGACCCGAGCAGCAGCGGACGCCCCUCGGGCCGCUGCGCGCCGUAGGUCGCCAGCAGCGCCUGCGCCUC
rnacentral:antisense_RNA from 1 species